rnacentral:rRNA from 1 species
AUUGAACGCUGGCGGCACGCCUUACACAUGCAAGUCGAACGGCAGCACGGGAGCAAUCCUGGUGGCGAGUGGCGAACGGGUGAGUAAAGUAUCGGAACGUGCCCAGUCGUGGGGGAUAACGUAGCGAAAGUUACGCUAAUACCGCAUACGAUCUAUGGAUGAAAGCGGGGGAUCGCAAGACCUCGCGCGAGUGGAGCGGCCGAUAUCAGAGUAGGUGGUUGGUGGGGUAAAGGCUCACCAAGCCGACGAUCUGUAGCUGGUCUGAGAGGACGACCAGCCACACUGGGACUAUGACACGGCCCAGACUCCUACGGGAGGCAGCAGUGGGGAAUUUUGGACAAUGGGCGAAAGCCUGAUCCAGCCAUGCCGCGUGCAGGAUGAAGGCCUUCGGGUUGUAAACUGCUUUUGUACGGAACGAAAAGGUUUGGGCUAAUAAGCUGAGCUCAUGACGGUACCGUAAGAAUAAGCACCGGCUAACUACGUGCCAGCCGCCGCCGUAA